rnacentral:rRNA from 1 species
AGAGUUUGAUCCUGGCUCAGGACGAACGCUGGCGGCACGCUUAACACAUGCAAGUCGAACGAGAGAAGAGGAGCUUGCUUUUCUGAUCUAGUGGCGGACGGGUGAGUAACACGUGAGCAAUCUGCCUUUCAGAGGGGGAUACCGAUUGGAAACGAUCGUUAAUACCGCAUAACAUAAUUGAACCGCAUGAUUUGAUUAUCAAAGAUUUAUCGCUGAAAGAUGAGCUCGCGUCUGAUUAGCUAGUUGGUAAGGUAACGGCUUACCAAGGCGACGAUCAGUAGCCGGACUGAGAGGUUGAUCGGCCACAUUGGGACUGAGACACGGCCCAGACUCCUACGGGAGGCAGCAGUGGGGAAUAUUGCACAAUGGAGGAAACUCUGAUGCAGCGAUGCCGCGUGAGGGAAGAAGGUUUUAGGAUUGUAAACCUCUGUCUUCAGGGACGAAAAAAGACGGUACCUGAGGAGGAAGCUCCGGCUAACUACGUGCCAGCAGCCGCGGUAAUACGUAGGGAGCGAGCGUUGUCCGGAAUUACUGGGUGUAAAGGGAGCGUAGGCGGGAUCGCAAGUCAGAUGUGAAAACUAUGGGCUUAACCCAUAAACUGCAUUUGAAACUGUGGUUCUUGAGUGAAGUAGAGGUAAGCGGAAUUCCUAGUGUAGCGGUGAAAUGCGUAGAUAUUAGGAGGAACAUCAGUGGCGAAGGCGGCUUACUGGGCUUUAACUGACGCUGAGGCUCGAAAGCGUGGGGAGCAAACAGGAUUAGAUACCCUGGUAGUCCACGCCGUAAACGAUG